GGAGAGGUGCGGGAGUGGUUUAACCGGCACGCCUGGAGAGCGUGUGGGCACAAAAUUGCCCAUUGGGUUCGAAUCCCACCCUCUCCG
rnacentral:tRNA from 1 species